rnacentral:rRNA from 1 species
GACGAACGCUGGCGGCGUGCUUAACACAUGCAAGUCGAACGAUGAAGCUGGAGCUUGCUCCGGUGGAUUAGUGGCGAACGGGUGAGUAACACGUGAGCAAUCUGCCCUUGACUCUGGGAUAACUGCGGGAAACUGUAGCUAAUACCGGAUAUUUUCCCUGGUGGGCAUCCACUGGGGAAGAAAGAAUUUCGGUCAAGGAUGAGCUCGCGGCCUAUCAGCUAGCUGGUGAGGUAAUGGCUCACCAAGGCGACGACGGGUAGCCGGCCUGAGAGGGUGACCGGCCACACUGGAACUGAGACACGGUCCAGACUCCUACGGAGGCAGCAGUGGGGAUAUUGCACAAUGGGCGAAAGCCUGAUGCAGCAA